rnacentral:misc_RNA from 1 species
UCUUCUUCAUAACUUUACAGUUCGACGCUCGCAAUAUUUGAGCCAUGAGCCAUGAAAACUUCACGUUGCCUUCGGGUCAAGAUAAAUGCCAUCGAAAAACGAAAAACAGAAAUGAAAACGAAGCAUCAUCCGGUCGGUGGAGCUGCUAUGUUGGAUUCGUUUCCCUGUACAUGCACCUGUACAUAUCUGCAUUUUCCUCUUCGCUUCUCCGUACGUACAUGGCCUGGCUUUGGCUCCAAACAAAAAAGUUCUCAUCAUAAAUCAAAUAAAAUACAACACCAGCUGGCAACGGGACGGGACGCUACGAAGUUCAGGGUCAACGCAUUUUUAUUGAGACCUUUGGCGGUAAACUCCAAUGGAUGAAUUAACUAAUUUUGUUUCUUUAUUUUUUGUUAUCUUUUGUUUCAUUAUUCUAUUGGACGGCAGAUCCCUCCAUAUAGUAACCAGCUAGAGAAGCUGUCAUAUCUUGAUCUAUAGUACUGGAUGCUUGAUAAGAUUGAGUCCAUCAUUAUGAAAUACGAUAUUUUUCUUUUUUUAAACUUUGAAUGUCAAUCAAAAGUUCUUAGAACGAAGGAAUUUUGUAUCGAGUUUCGAUAUCUGAUAUUUUGUAAGAAAUUUAACGAUGAAGCACGUGUAUUUUAUGUUUUUUCCACCGAAUAUUCAUUUUCAGUGUUCGAAAUAAAGUUUAAAUAUAACCAA